rnacentral:rRNA from 1 species
UCUUGCCUACGGGAGGCAGCAGUAGGGAAUCUUCCACAAUGGGCGAAAGCCUGAUGGAGCAACGCCGCGUGGGUGAAGAAGGUCUUCGGAUCGUAAAACCCUGUUGUUAGAGAAGAAAGUGCGUGAGAGUAACUGUUCACGUUUCGACGGUAUCUAACCAGAAAGCCACGGCUAACUACGUGCCAGCAGCCGCGGUAAUACGUAGGUGGCAAGCGUUAUCCGGAUUUAUUGGGCGUAAAGGGACCGCAGUCGGUCUUUUAA